rnacentral:sRNA from 1 species
UGUUAAGUCGUAAUGUCAAGUCGUAAGUGC